UGUUCGAGGAACCCUAGAUGCUGUCGGAGUAAAGGAUCGUCAACAAGAGCGCUCUAGUGCGUUGUUGAUUCUCAUCCAAGACUUGUAUCAUUUGAUGAUGCCAUGUGAAUCGCUAGAAAUAUGUGAAGUGUAUGGCUAACCCAAUAACGAAAGUUUCGUAAGGGGACUGGAGCAGGCUACCAUGAGACAAAAGAUCUUCUUUCUAAAGAGAUUCACAUUGUUCGAGGAACCCUAGAUGCUGUCGGAGUAAAGGAUCGUCAACAAGGGCGUUCUAGUGCGUUGUUGAUUCUCAUCCAAGACUUGUAUCAUUUGAUGAUGCCAUGUGAAUCGC
rnacentral:lncRNA from 1 species